GAUCAUGCUCAGGAUGAACGCUAGCUACAGGCUUAACACAUGCAAGUCGAGGGGCAGCAUUUUAGUUUGCUUGCAAACUAAAGAUGGCGACCGGCGCACGGGUGAGUAACACGUAUCCAACCUGCCGAUAACUCUGGGAUAGCCUUUCGAAAGAAAGAUUAAUACCGGAUGGCAUAGGAUUAUCGCAUGAUAAUCCUAUUAAAGAAUUUCGGUUAUCGAUGGGGAUGCGUUCCA
rnacentral:rRNA from 1 species